rnacentral:lncRNA from 1 species
CUGCAACAUAUGAAGCAGUGGACGUAAUUGAUUUGCAUAUGUCAGAAGAGAUUCUUUUUAAGGACUUAGUUGAAUUGCAUAUGUCAAAACGGAUUCCCCUGUUCCAUAAUUCUGAGAAAUAUGAAGGCUUACAGAAGGCAAUAAAAGAGAUUGAUUCCAUUUUGGUAGAUGCGAAGAAGAUGAACGACAUAGAAGGUUUAUCAAAGUCC